rnacentral:rRNA from 1 species
UACGUAGGGUGCAAGCGUUGUCCGGAAUUAUUGGGCGUAGAGAGCUCGUAGGCGGUCUGUCGCGUCGGCUGUGAAAACCUAGAGCUCAACCCUGGGCCUGCAGCCGAUACGGGCAGACUAGAAUUCGGUAGGGGAGACUGGAAUUCCUGGUGUAGUGGUGAAAUGCGCAGAUAUCAGGAGGAACACCGGUGGCGAAGGCGGGUCUCUGGGCCGAUAUUGACGCUGAGGAGCGAAAGCGUGGGGAGCGAACAGG